AGGUAAAUGAAUGAAUGAAAGAAUAAAGUGAGUGUUUGAGUUAGUUAGAAAAAGAGUGAACUAUAUAGGCUAGAGAAUGACUGCCAAAAAAACCACAAGGGCAUUGCAAAAUCUCCAUAAUACACACAUAAAUGUUCAUGCAUUCUAUGAUGGAGAAAGAAGUUCAUCUGUUUAUAUAAUUCCUAUCAAAACUGUAUUUCCUCUUAUGUUUUUUACUUUCUUGAACUCUUUAAAACAAGAAACUUUUAACUCUUUUGUUCUCUGAACAUUUAAAAUAACUUUUUGGUGUUAUUUCUUUCGUUUUUUCUAGCCAGUGAAAUAUUUAUCCCAAUGAGCUGUUUUUCACUUAACCUUGCUUAGUGUCUUUGUCUGUAGUCACCACUUGGCCUUUUCACUACUAUAUGCAUUAACACCCAGGUAGGAAAGAGACAAAUGGAAGCAAAAUAGCAAAAUGGUGAAGAGGAGGGUUCUAGAGGCAGAGAGCCCUGCAGUCCUGAGUCCUGAGUCCACCGUUUAACAGAGUGACUUUGCUCAGCCUGUGGAUUAUAAUGAAACUUGCCUGUUAUAGGAUCCAGUUUUUUAGGUGGUAGCAACAUGCUCAAGGAAGAUGCAGCCCCUUCCUCCAGCCUGAGAGAAUAAAGCAUCAUUGGCUUAUGCCAACCAUGGCAAUCCCAUUCCCCUUUUCUCAUGAUUGAUUUGGGAAUGGGCAAGUGACCCAGUUCUAACCAAUGAGACGAAAGAAAAAGUCUAUUGGUCAGCUUAUCUCAGAAGAUUUUUGUUUCCUGCUAUAAAGAGAAACAGUAAGUUCCUUCCUGCCUGACUUAAAUGCAAUUGUGUGCAAACAUGUUACUUGGAGCUACAGCAACGAUUCUGUGACCAUGAGGCAAUAAGCCAAGGACAAAGGAUAGAAUAGUGAAAAGACAGAGUAUUGGAUUUUUUUUAUGAUAUCAUUGAACUGCUGGACCAAUGUGGAACCAUCUACUUUUAGUCUUUCAUGAUUUGUGAGAUGAUUAAACAUUUCUUUUUUUUAGCCAUUAUUUCUUUUCUGUUACUUGCAACUGAAGACAUCCUACAUAAUACAAACACUAUCCAACUUGGAUUGUAAUUUAUCUAUUUUCAGAUCUGUGUGUUCUGUCUUACUGAUUUUUGUAUUCUUAGCACUGAGUAUAAGGCUGCUACUUAGUAAGACUUCAAUAAAUGACUGUUUAAAAAGGUCUUAGAGGAUUUAAAAAAAAUUCUGAAGUUGCUGAAAUAUGAAGACCAGGAACCAAUUUCAGGUUCUAUAAAUUUCUCGCUUCCUUCACUUCUGGAGUAGUCUUCAUUUCUGUCUGAUUCUACCUUUACUAAAAUGAAUGAAUGAUUGAGAAAUACGAAAAAUGGCUGGUAUAGUGGCUACUGCUGAGAAGUAUCUCUUGGAAAUUCCCGGAAAUUCCAUCAGUCACAUUCAGACCUAACUCUCUGAUGAUCAAUGUUUCUGAACUCAAACCAGUGUACAUAAGCAGUGGACUAUUUAAAGUGGUAUUAGCCUAGAAUAUCUAGGACCCAUGUUUUAUGCAUUCAGUAAGCGUUUGUUUAAUGUCUGUUAUCUACCAGGCACAUUAUUAUGCAUUGGGCAUAUAGAGAUGACCAACCACACGGCCUCAAUCCUUGAAAAGCUUACAGUAACCAAAUAGGGUUAACGGCCUAAAGAGAGGUAAUUACAAGUCUUACACUCAGUCUUCUUAGCAUAGUAUGGUGCUACCUCUGAGUUAAUUAAGAUAACAAAAUUCCUAGAUAUAUAUCUUUGAUGAAACGGUUUCCAUGAAAACUUUCCAAGUUUGGUCCCUCCCCGGCUGAGUUCAUUUUGGAAGGUGACUUUCUGCUCUCAUCACCUAAGGUCCUUAACACGUAUCCUGUGUUCUCCGGAGGCACCCCUUGCCCAGAGUGUGCCCUCUGCAUGGUUCCCCCAGAACACCUAUUUCAAAGGAAAAGAAGUUGGAUCAUUCAGUGAAGAUUUGGGGGGCCACUUUUCUACGUGGGAGGAUUAUGAGUAUUACCUUCCUCCCCUAUGUAUUAGUAAAUAUAAAGAAAACAUAAAUUAACCCCCUUUCUGGCUGGGCACGGUGGCUCACGCCUGUCAUCCCGCACUAUGGGAAUCCGAAGUGGGCGGAUCACUUGAGGUCAGCAGUUUGAGACCAGCCUGGCCAACAUGGCAAAACCCCGUCUCUACUAAAAUAUAAAAAUUAGCCAGAUGUGGUUGCACACAUCUCUAGUCCCAGCUACUCGGGAGGCUGAGGCACAAGAACUGCUUGAGCCUGGGAGCAAGGGUUGCAGUGAGCUGAGAUUGUGCCAUUGCACUCCAGCCUGGGUGACAGAGCAAGACUCUGUCUCAAAAAAAUAAAAUAAAAUAAAAAUAAUUUAGACCCCAUUCUUCUUAGAUAACCAUGACUUCUGAAGGAGGUCAGAGCUCUUGUGCUCUGCAUCUCUGCUCCAUCAGCCUCAAGGCCACCUUUCAGGUCCACAUGAAAUAUAAGUGCACAAAGGCACCAGACUUAGCAUUAUUAGUUUCCCCCACUGGUCUGAUUUUUGUAGAAAUUGCCAGGAACUGAUUUUCUGCCCUUCCUUCCUAACAGACAAGCCUUCCAGCCCUCCCUGACACAGCUCUUCCCUAUCUCCUACUCUCUGGUCAUCAAGCUUUUAGAGAUGCCCUGGCCUUCUCUAGUUGCCCCAGCUGUAUUUUUUCUUCUUGGGAAUGCGUUGAUUCCAGAGCCUGACUGGGAAUAAAUCUCAGCUCCUCCAUUUAGCAGUUAUGGGAUUCAAGUUACUCUUACUCCCAGGGACUCAGUUUCUGCACCUGUAAAAUGGAGAUUUACCACCUUUCGUUCCAGCAUUACUGAUAUUGUUUGGCUCUGUGUCCCUACCCAAAUCCCAUCUCGAAAAUUAAUCCCUAUAGUCCCCACCUGUUGAGGGUCCUGGUGGGAGGUAAUUGGAUCCUGGGGGCGGCUUUUCCCAUGCUGUUCUCGUGAUAGUGAGUAAGUUCUCACGAGAGCUGACGGUUUUAUAAGUGUUUGACAGUUUCUCCUUCACACGCUCUCUCUUCUGUCUCCUGCCAUCAUGUAAGAUGUGCCUGCUUCUCCUCCUCUCAUGAUUGCAAGUCUCCUGAGGCC
rnacentral:lncRNA from 1 species